rnacentral:rRNA from 1 species
ACUCCUACGGGAGGCAGCAGUGGGGAAUUUUGCGCAAUGGGGGAAACCCUGAUCCAGCCAUGCCGCGUGAGUGAUGAAGGCCUUCGGGUUGUAAAGCUCUUUUGGCGGGGACGAUGAUGACGGUACCCGCAGAAUAAGCCCCGGCUAACUUCGUGCCAGCAGCCGCGGUAAUACGAAGGGGACUAGCGUUGUUCGGAAUCACUGGGCGUAAAGCGCACGUAGGCGGAUUUGUAAGUCAGGGGUGAAAUCCCGGGGCUCAACCUGGGAAUUGCAUUCGAGACUGCAUAGCUAGGGUGCGGAAGAGGGAAGCGGAAUUCCAGGUGUAGCGGUGAAAUGCGUAGAUAUCUGGAGGAACACCUGCGGCGAAGGCGGGUUGCUGGGCUGACACUGACGCUCAUGCACGAAAGCGUGGGGAGCAAACAGGAUUAGAUACCCUGGUAGUCCACGCCCUAAACGAUGACGACUAGUUGUUGGGGGAGUUAAAUCCCUUAGUAACGCAGCUAACGCGCGAAGUCGUCCGCCUGGGGAGUACGGUCGCAAGAUUAAAACUUAAAGGAAUUGACG